ensembl:miRNA
UCUGGGAAGCCUGAGCAGCAGUGGGGCAGCCAUGGAGCUGCUGACUGGGACUGGCCUGUGGCCUGUG